UUACGGCCACACCACGUUGAAACUACCGGUUCCCGUACGAUCACCGAAGUUAAACAACGCUUAGCCUGGUCAGUACCUGGAUGAGUGACCGCUUCAGAAUACUAGAUGU